UGUCAGAAAGGUGUGUCCCAAGUCUGGGCCACGGUAUAUAAAGGUCUGCAGGACUCGGGGUAAAGCAUCGAGUGUGUCUUACGAAAGGUUGUACGACAAAGCCAGGAAUUAGUCACAUUUUUGGAAGGAAAGAUGAUGAGAAUCCUGAGCGUGUUGUUGAUGGCACUGUACCUCCUGUCUUGUGCCUCUGCUUACGUCAUCUACAGGAUGGGGCCAAUUUACAGGAGGCCGAUCUACAGGGCUUACUACAACCACGACAUCGACGACGACAAUAUCGUUUAUCUAGGUUGAAAAUUUGACGAUUAUAGAAGGAUCAAGAUUGACAGAGCCGGAAUGGAUAGGAGACUCGGGUGUCACGCUAUUCAAUUAUUUAUUUCUGUACUGAUGCACACAUAUAUAUUCUGUUGUUAAAUAAAACUACUUUUCUGCUAUA